rnacentral:rRNA from 1 species
GAUGAACGCUGGCGGCGUGCCUAAUACAUGCAAGUCGAGCGAACAGACGAGACUCUUGCUUCUCUCAUGUUAGCGGCGCACGUGUGAAUCACACGUGUAUAACCUCCCUAUCAUACUGGGAUCACUUCGGGAAACCGUAUCUUAUCCCGUAUAAUAUUUUGCACCACAGGGUUCAAUGGAAAGAUACGGUCUUUCUGUCACUUAUCGCUGGUUCCGCGCUUCUUUAGGUAGUUGUUAAGGUAACGGCUUACCACGGCAACGAUGCAUAGCCGAACUGAGAGGGUGAUCGGCCACACUGGAACUGAGACACGGUCCAGACUCCUGCGGGAGGGAGCAGUAGGGUAUCUUCCGCAGAGGGCGAAAGCCUGACGGAGCAACGCCGCGUGAGUGAUGAAGGUCUUCGGAUCGUAAAACUCUGUUAUUAGGGAAGAACAUAUGUGUAAGGAACUGUGCACAUCUUGACGGUACCGAAUCAGAAAGCCACGGCUAACUACGUG